GCUUCUGCCUGCCGGUCCGCCUUCUUGGUGUGUACUGGUUUCGGUGGAAGCUUACCUCUUGGUGGGUCUGCAUGUCCUUUAUUGGAUGUGUUGAUUAACCAGGACUUUUACUUUGAGAAAAUUAGAGUGUUCAAAGCAGGCUUUCGCCCGAAUACAUUAGCAUGGAAUAAUAGAAUAGGACGCGCGUCUCUAUUUUGUUGGUUUCUAGAUUCGCCGUA
rnacentral:rRNA from 1 species